UAGAAAGCACUUGGGUAGUGCUGCGUGCCUGUGGGUUGGUGUUGGCCAAUUGGUGUGAGGCGAUAGUGAAGGGUGGCUAUGGCGGUGCUGCCGGUGCUGCUGCUGGCACUGCUGCUGGCCUGCGGCGGGCCGCGCGCUGCGGGGCAGAAGCGGAAGGAGAUGGUCUUAUCAGAAAAAGUGAGCCAGCUGAUGGAGUGGACGAGUAAGAGAUCUGUGAUACGAAUGAACGGAGACAAGUUCCGCCGCCUUGUGAAGGCACCGCCCAGAAACUACUCGGUGAUUGUGAUGUUCACUGCUCUUCAGCCUCACAGACAAUGUGUUGUGUGCAAGCAAGCUGAUGAAGAGUACCAGAUUCUGGCAAACUCCUGGCGAUAUUCCAGUGCAUUUACCAAUAAGAUUUUUUUUGCUAUGGUAGAUUUUGAUGAAGGCUCAGAUGUGUUUCAGAUGCUGAACAUGAAUUCUGCUCCAACCUUCAUUAAUUUUCCUGCUAAAGGGAAGCCUAAACGAGGUGACACGUAUGAACUCCAGGUGCGCGGCUUUGCAGCUGAGCAGCUUGCUCGUUGGGUGGCUGACAGAACUGAUGUCAAUAUUCGUGUGAUAAGGCCACCAAACUAUGCUGGACCACUGAUGUUAGGACUGCUGCUGGCUGUCAUUGGCGGCCUUGUGUAUUUGCGUGGAAGCAACCUAGAUUUUCUGUAUAACAAAACUGGCUGGGCAUUUGCUGCUUUGUGUUUUGUAUUAGCCAUGACAUCAGGUCAGAUGUGGAACCAUAUUAGAGGGCCACCCUAUGCUCAUAAGAACCCCCAUACAGGACAAGUGAGCUAUAUCCAUGGAAGCAGCCAAGCCCAGUUUGUUGCAGAAACACACAUUGUUCUUCUGUUCAGUAUCCUUCUUACUGAGACACAUGUUGGUGACAAUUCUUCUGUUAGCUUAUGCUGCUGCCUCUUCUCCUUAAACAGUGUCCACAGAUGGUGGUGUUACUUUAGGAAUGGUACUCCUCCAUGAAGCUGCUACUUCUGACAUGGAUGUGGGGAAGAGAAAGAUCAUGUGCAUUGCUGGUAUUGGCUUGGUGGUGUUCUUCUUCAGCUGGCUACUGUCUGUCUUCAGGUCAAAAUACCACGGAUACCCAUACAGUUUCCUAAUGAGUUAAAGGAUUCCAGAAUCUAACAUCAGGAAGGCGGUGACUAUGAAACUGUGUGUAAUAGAAUGGAAGAACUAAAGAUGUGUGGUUCAUGCUACCUCUCUUUACACUGAACGAGAUAGUUAAACACUGAACCAAAGAUGACAUGCAGUGCCUUAAAUAUAACAAGCAAUGUGCAUUGAAGGAUAGAGUAUUAAGAUGCAAUCUCUCUCACAAGCUUUACAUCUUCUGAAGCAACUUUCUAAUGGAAGUCAAAACUUUGCAUUUAGAACUACUAUGUUUUCUUAGACUAACGGAAACGGUACUUUGAAUUCAAUUGGAUAAUCUCUUUUGCAUGUCUUUUCUCCUCAGAUACUUCUUGCUUAUCCUAGCAGGUGACAAUAGCUUCUCUGUGCCUUUGCAUGGUUGAGGAAACCUCGUGUACCUGCAUAUCUCUUCCUUCAGUCUGUGUGUGACCCUUGGAGCAUACUCCAGAUUCCAUUUCAGGAUGUGCAUGCCCUAAAGGUGUAUCUCAAUUCUGAGAAGAGCAUUUAACUGCAGUAUGAUGCAAGAGGGGGCUUCACAGAUGAAGGAAGACUUUAUAACGGGUAGUAAUAGUUCAUUAAAAUUUAAAUCAACAUUGUAUAGAGUGACCUACUAAUGAAUUUUAUACUUGAUAUUUAGGACUGAAAAAAAAAUCAAAAACUUAGUGUAUUUCUUAUUCUUCUUCCUAGCGAGUAGCCAAAAUUUAUGGUAAACUUUCCUGUCAGUUUGGUUGUAGUCCCUAUUUGUUAUAGUGCAACUCAUUUAAUUGUUAAAAACUUUUUUGUCAAAUACUGAAGCUACAUCAGUUGAUUUGUAAAUAUUGGCUCAGAGCAUCAACGCUUCACUGCCAAAAAUAACAAAAACUAAAACUGAAAAGGUAAUUACAAAGGUAACUAAUCUGUUGCAUGAAUUACAAGUUGCUAACUGGCCUUAAAGUUGCUGCUCAGCAUCUGCUGUCAGGUUGCUGGUCACGAUGUAAGUUCUCACGUUCACUGCUUUCUCCAAAUUUUUUUCAGCCUUAUGUCCUGGGAGGAUGUGGGAGCGGGCCGAGAUAUCUAAUCCCAAAUGUUGUUACUUUGGGAAAGCUUCUUUAGCCUUACAAUUGAAUGGAUGUGCUUUUUGCUCUUUUAUCUCACAAAAAUGCUUUGUCUUAAGGAUUUUUUAGUUGAAGACCUUGUGCCUCAGCCCAUGCUGUUUUGUAAUUCAGCAUCUGCACUACAGGAAAUGUUUGUGGCCUAAUUCAGCAGUACUGUCUUUUGUAGACUGUGAUGGCCUUGGCAGUUACUAGUCAGAGGAAAAUAUGGGACUGUCUUCUGCUUCUGCCUGUCUCGAAGGGUUACAGGAUGUGGAUACUUUAGGUUUAAGCUCAAAAAGAGCUUUAUCUUUGAAAGUAGAAUGUUGUUAUUAUGCAAUUUUGCUACAUUAACACACAUCUUAAGUGCCUUAACUUUUCUAAUUUAGUUGUUUGACAUUUCAACUUGGUGAGAUGCAUUUUUUUUUUUUAAAACCAUACAGAACGACAAGUUCUACUGGAUUGGAUAAGUUGUGUGCUUGGCUGGAUUUUGGACAACUUUCAAUAAAUUUUUUUUUAAAUCCAU